rnacentral:tRNA from 1 species
GCCCCCGUAGCCCAACCGGCAGAGGCAGGCCACUUAAAAUGGCUGUGUUGCGGGUUCGACUCCCGUCGGGGGCA